ACUCUAAAUCAUGCCCCUGAGCACCGCAUGACAAUACAAAAAAUUUGACAAAUAAUUUGUCUUUGCCAUUUUGUGAUAAAUUUUAAAAGUUUCUGUCUGCUCAAAUGAAGUACCAAAGCAAGGUACAUUUUUAUUUAUUACAGGGGACUGAUUUUUGUGUCCAUUUUAUACAGUGACUCAUUAGAUGAAGUCAGCACUAAUGUCAGUGAGCAAGAUGGAUACAUGUAAGGAUUUGCCCUGUGGAAAAUCUACCAGCCGUCUAUUGGCACCUGUUCUCACUAGAUCUGUGUCCCACAAGAUGUAUCCCCAGCGUUGAACUGCUGACAUUAAGCACUUUCAAGGCAGCA
rnacentral:lncRNA from 1 species